GGGCGAAUGGUCUAGGGGUAUGAUACUCCCUUCGCAUUUCUAAGAUUGUUAAAAUUGUGUGUUUGGGAGGGGUCCGGGGUUCAAUUCCCCGUUCGUCCA